UAAUCACUGGUACUCAUUCCAUCAUCAAAGUUAAGCAAUGUUGAGCCUGGUCAGUACAUAGAUGGGUAACCACUUGGGAAUGCCAGGUGCUGUG